rnacentral:rRNA from 1 species
UACAGAGGUCCCGAGCGUUGUCCGGAUUUAUUGGGCGUAAAGAGCUCGUAGGCGGCUUGUCGCGUCGUCCGUGAAAACCUGCGGCUCAACUGCAGGCUGGCGGUCGAUACGGGCAGGCUGGAGUUCGGUAGGGGAGACUGGAAUUCCUGGUGUAGCGGUGAAAUGCGCAGAUAUCAGGAGGAACACCGGUGGCGAAGGCGGGUCUCUGGGCCGAUACUGACGCUGAGGAGCGAAAGCGUGGGGAGCGAACAGG